CACGUAGGGGGCAAGCGUUGUCCGGAAUCAUUGGGCGUAAAGAGCUCGUAGGCGGCUCAGUAAGUCGGGUGUGAAACCCUCAGGCUCAACCUGGGGACGCCACCCGAUACUGCUGUGGCUAGAGUCCAGUAGGGGAGUGUGGAAUUCCCGGUGUAGCGGUGAAAUGCGCAGAUAUCGGGAGGAACACCAGCGGCGAAGGCGACUUCCUGGACAAUUGCUGACGCUCAGGCACGAAAGCGUGGGGAGCCAAAGGG
rnacentral:rRNA from 1 species